GACGAACGCUGGCGGCGCGCCUAACACAUGCAAGUCGAACGAGCGAGAGAGAGCUUGCUUUCUCGAGCGAGUGGCGAACGGGUGAGUAACGCGUGAGGAACCUGCCUCAAAGAGGGGGACAACAGUUGGAAACGACUGCUAAUACCGCAUAAGCCCACGGUGCCGCAUGGCACAGAGGGAAAAGGAGCAAUCCGCUUUGAGAUGGCCUCGCGUCCGAUUAGCUAGUUGGUGAGGUAAUGGCCCACCAAGGCGACGAUCGGUAGCCGGAAUGAGAGGUUGACCGGGACUAUUGGGGGUGGCACCAGGCCCGAACCCUCCGGGGGGGGCGAAGGGGGGAAGUUGGAACAGGGGGGGAAACCUGAAGGGAGGGGGCCCGGAAAAGGAAAGAAGGUGGGAGGAUUAUAAACCCCUGUUUUUGGGGAAAUUAUGACGGUACCCAAACAGAAAGGUGCGGCUAAAUUCGUG
rnacentral:rRNA from 1 species